rnacentral:lncRNA from 1 species
UCAAAAAAAGAAGAAACCAAGUGUCUUUCAGCAGUACGUAGAAUAUCGGAGGCCCAAUUUCUUCCUUAUUUUCCUGUUUGUUUGUUUGACAGGUUUCGAUACAUACAUAUAAUCUCAUUUGUCCUACCUCUCUCUACCUGCAGGCGCAUGAUAUCCAUCGACCGUGCGUUGAAGAGUUUGGUCUAUGGAUCUUUCAAGGUGACAGUUGUGUAUGUGGCUGCUGCUACUGCUUUCUCUGGCAGUGGGCUAGAAGCGUAGCCCAGGCCGUUACCAAGGAAAACGUGUGAAGACGAGGUGGAAAAAUGAGAACCAAAGAUGGCCGCCCAGCUUGUUUUAUGUUUAAUUAUGACCCCUGCAGUUUGGCUAGCUAGCACUAUGCUAUCGUACGCUGUGAUAUUGUGUGACAUGGUAUCAUGUUAUUAUAUCUCUACCUAUCUAUCUAUUCGAGUAGAUUCUGCAUGAAACUGUAGCUUGAAGUGAACAUGCUUGCAAGGUCACUGACGUGCAUUGUUGGGCUCCUGUUUAGUGCUUCUGGAUCGAAGUGAUUGCAAUCUACUCAGAAGUGCUCACUUUCAUGACUGCCUUGUGUUUUUCCCUCCACCAGGGGGGCAGGCUACUCGUGUACAGAUCCUUUCACUUCAUGACUGCCCUGUCCUUUUUUCCUGUCACCAAGUGGCGGGCUUGUUUUAGCGCACUCUUACAAACCUGUUCAAAAAC